GAACUCGCAGAUUGAGGGCUCUUUCUUCAUCUUCUGCACAGUGUUACAUGGCUGCUCCUCAACUGGAGUGGACUGUGGCUGAUUUCAAAAAUGGGUGAGCAGCACAGGGCCUGUUGGAGUGGUUGUGCUGUUGACCAGACACGUAGACAAAAGAACCUUACAUUGCAGCUGUGCACAGUUGCAGCAGUGCCUUGGUGCUAGUUCUUCAGGAGUUUUGUCGCACAUGUAUUGGCGUUGGAUAUGAUGCAUGAUAGUGGGACAAGAGCAG
rnacentral:rRNA from 16 species